rnacentral:misc_RNA from 1 species
GGUGGCAAGAACCUCAAUUGUACUUCUUCUUUGAGACUAAGCACUGUAUUUUGCCGAGAUUAAAGAAUGGUAAUAGAAUGGUUAGUAUUCGUGACAGAUGAUUAAAGAUUUUCUAGAACUGAUCAAGCAAGAAUCAAAACAGUUGAGCUUAAAGAACUAAAGUUAGUGGCACUUUUGAGCAAGAAGGUUGGUGAAGAAGGAAGAGAGAGAUUGUUAAUAAACCAUAAUGGAUAGGUGAUGAUGUAAUGGUGAAUUGUUUAAUGUGGGAUUGCUUAGCUUGUGAAGGUCAGAGAGAAAUCUAGCAU